rnacentral:rRNA from 1 species
UACGUAGGGGGCAAGCGUUGUCCGGAAUCAUUGGGCGUAAAGAGCGUGUAGGCGGUUCGGUAAGUCCGCUGUGAAAGUCGGGGGCUCAACCCUCGAAUGCCGGUGGAUACUGUCGGGCUAGAGUGCGGAAGAGGCGAGUGGAAUUCCUGGUGUAGCGGUGAAAUGCGCAGAUAUCAGGAGGAACACCUAUUGCGAAGGCAGCUCGCUGGGACGUAACUGACGCUGAGACGCGAAAGCGUGGGGAGCAAACAGG